AACGAACGCUGGCGGCAGGCUUAACACAUGCAAGUCGAGCGCCCCGCAAGGGGAGCGGCAGACGGGUGAGUAACGCGUGGGAAUCUACCCAUCCCUACGGAAUAGCUCCGGGAAACUGGAAUUAAUACCGUAUACGCCCUACGGGGGAAAGAUUUAUCGGGGAUGGAUGAGCCCGCGUUGGAUUAGCUAGUUGGUGGGGUAAAGGCCUACCAAGGCGACGAUCCAUAGCUGGUCUGAGAGGAUGAUCAGCCACAUUGGGACUGAGACACGGCCCAAACUCCUACGGGAGGCAGCAGUGGGGAAUAUUGGACAAUGGGGGCAACCCUGAUCCAGCCAUGCCGCGUGAGUGAUGAAGGCCUUAGGGUUGUAAAGCUCUUUCACCGGGGAAGAUAAUGAUGGUACCCGGAGGAGAAGCCCCGGCUAACUUCGUGCCAGCCGCCGCAGUAAGAC
rnacentral:rRNA from 1 species